rnacentral:lncRNA from 1 species
AGACCCUCUUACCCCAUCCUGCAGCAUAUCUAGCACUUGCUGAUUGCCUAUCUUGGCUUGGACUGGCGCACGCUUCGUUGGGUUAGAAACUGGCUGGAUAGCCGGGCCCAAAGAGUUGUGGUAAAUGGAGCCAAGUCCAGUUGGAGGCCAGUCACUAGUGGCGUCCCCCAGGGCUCGAUGCUGGGGCCGGUCCUCUUUAACAUCUUCAUCAAUGAUCUGGAUGACGGCAUUGAGUGCACCCUCAGUAAGUUUGCAGAUGACACCAAGCUAGGUGCGUGUGUCGAUCUGCUCGAGGGUAGGAAGGCUCUGCAGGAGGAUCUGGAUAGGCUGCACCGAUGGGCUGAGGUCAACUGUAUGAAGUUCAACAAGGCCAAGUGCCGGGUCCUGCACCUGGGGCGCAAUAACCCCAAGCAGAGCUACAGGCUGGGAGAGGAAUGGUUGGAGAGCUGCCAGGCAGAGAAGGACCUGGGAGUGAUGGUGGACAGUCGGCUGAAUAUGAGCCAGCAGUGUGCUCAGGUGGCCAAGAAGGCCAACGGCAUCCUGGCUUGUAUCAGAAACAGCGUGACCAGCAGGGCUAGGGAGGUGAUCGUCCUCCUAUACUCGGCUCUGGUGAGGCCGCACCUCGAGUACUGUGUUCAGUUUUGGGCCCCUCGCUACAAGAAGGACAUGGAGGUGCUUGAGCGGGUCCAAAGAAGGGCGACGAAGCUGGUGAGGGGCCUGGAGAGCAAGUCCUAUGAGGAGCGGCUGAAGGAGCUGGGCUUGUUCAGCCUAGAGAAGAGGAGGCUCAGGGGUGACCUUAUUGCUCUGUAUAAGUACAUUAAAGGAGGCUGUAGCGAGGUGGGGGUUGGCCUGUUCUCCCAUGUGCCUGGUGACAGGACGAGGGGGAAUGGGCUAAAGUUACGCCAGGGGAGUUUUAGGUUAGAUGUUAGGAAGAAUUUCUUUACUGAAAGGGUUGUUAGGCACUGGAAUGGGCUGCCCAGGGAGGUGGUGGAGUCACCAUCCCUGGAAGUCUUCAAAAGACGUUUAGAUGUAGAACUUAGGGAUACGGUUUAGUGGGUACUGUUAGUGUUAGGUAGAGGUUGGACUCGAUGAUCUUGAGGUCUCUUCCAACCUAGAGAUUCUGUGAUUCUGUGAUUCUGUGAUUCUGUGAUCUUGGAAAAUUAUCCUUUUCGAUGAAGAAGCAGGAACACAUGAAUGCUUCCUCCAUUGUCCUUCCUUUUGUUUAGUUCUUUCCCACCCCCCAGAUGUU